rnacentral:rRNA from 1 species
GACAGAGGGUGCAAACGUUGUUCGGAUUUACUGGGCGUAAAGCGUGUGUAGGCGGCUUUGCAAGUCGGAUGUGAAAUCCCACGGCUCAACCGUGGAAGUGCAUCCGAAACGGCAUCGCUUGAGUCCCGGAGAGGAAGGUGGAAUGCUUGGUGUAGAGGUGAAAUUCGUAGAUAUCAAGCAGAACACCUGCGGCGAAGGCGGCCUUCUUGACGGUGACUGACGCUGAGACACGAAAGCGUGGGGAGCAAACAGG